GUUCUCGUUGCCUAAUGGAUAAGGCGCUUGCCUCUGGAACGAGAGAUGUGGGUUUGAGUCCCACCGUGAAUG
rnacentral:tRNA from 1 species